GCCCGGUUAGCUCAAUCGGUAGAGCGUGAGACUCUUAAUCUCAAGGUUGCGGGUAAGCUAAUCUUCUAUCCUCUCGUCUAUACCAUGUAUUGACCUGCGUGCAACAGGUUCGACCCCCGCAUUGGGCU